UCCAUCAUGUGAACAUUGAACAGUCCUUGUGAGAUUUUCAAAACACGGAUACCGUUUUAGUACCUAAUCCUGCUUCAAGUUAAUAAAAUCAAAUUAAGACACACUAAUAUCUAUUGUUAUAAAGUAGAAAAACAUGGAAACAACUGAUAUGUGUUUUAAAUAUUUCACAUUUGCCCAUUUUUUGUAUUGAUGUUUGUGACUGAAAUAUUUCUGUCUUUUUCUUCCAUUAACUUUUCUGAUGACGCCUUUAGAUUAAACUGUUUUAGUUUAUUUCACCAUUUUGACCAGAGCUCCCUGCAAGAAGAGAUGAUGCAACAUUAUAACUGAAAGCUUUAUUUGUAAUAUGCAUUGCUCCAUCUGAACUUCCGCAACAGUGUUAGUUGGAAAAUAAUUUCAGUGGUCCAGUGUAUAAUUACUAAAGGCAAGAACUAUAUUUUCCUCCUACAAUAAUUGGGGACAGUACAGUUCUAAUUCUGAUAAAAAUUACAUUAAUUAAAGUGAAAACCACUAGGUACUUGCUUCAUAUGUCUAAGAGAAAAGUCUUAGUUAAAUAAAUAAAUCUAAUAAUUCAACAGCUCUGGAGGUGAACAAGGUGCUCAUGUCUAAAAACAACAAUUACAGCUGUGCCUCAUCUAAAGUUAGUAGCUAAAUAAUUACUGAAUUUAUGGCAUCAACAUGAUUGUAGAUUAACUCACUCAGUGAUCCUCUACCCUGCUCCUCAAUAUGCAGUAUCCUGCAUAUUUUAGAUAUGUCCCUGCUCCACCAUUACUGAUGCAAAUGGUUGAAUUUAAUCCUCAGCAUGCCACCAAGUGCUGCACAAGCCUGUUAAUCACCCAUUCUCCCAGUCCAUCACACCACCACUCAUGCAGGGCCAUGGGUAUUUGACGGCAGAAGGUAAUCUACCCGUAUAAAAAUACCGUGACUAGAACAGAAUUUUUAAAGUUUGAUAAAACUGAUCAGCGAUAAAAAAGCUUUUGUUUCUUUUAAAGGUCCUUUAAAAUAGCAGGUUAGUUUCCUUACAUCUGAGACUUCCACCAAUACAAAUUUUAGUUAUUUCUGCCACUAUUUACUCAGUAAUAAAACAGAACAUUUUCUAAAACAAGAGCUAAAUCACUGGUGGUGUCACUAUGAUGGAUUCUGAAAACACACAAUCCUCUGGACCAUUGGAGUUUGGCCUAAAAACUAACCUCCUCAAUCAGGAUCCAAAGUCAAAGUACAAACACUUCAGUUAGAUCAUGCUGUAGCAAUUAGAUAAUGUACAAAGCUACACUGCAUUAUUGUUUGGCAGUGAUAUAAGCAUGAGAGAUGAUGAAAACCCACUCAGACAAGAGAUUACAAAAUGUUGACACCGCAUGGUGCCAUAGGCCAACUCUGAACGUGACGGUGACAUUAUGCAAGCAUUUACCCCCUGCCAUUAGUAAAUUAUUUGGUUUGUUCCUAGAAAAGACCCAUUACAGACUCUAAAGCAGCGGGACAUCCUUUACACUGUGAUGCAAUGGAUCUUUAAAGUUUUCUCCUCCUCUUAGCUUAACACCUUCAGAAUUAAACCCACUUUACAUUCAGAUCAAGGCAUCAACGCCCAUCUUUCCCUAAAGCAGUCACACUAGCUGGUGCAUAAAUAUAGUCUGCUUUUCACACUCUGUUUCUGGUCUUUGUCUGAGCAAGAGAUGGAUGAGCAGCUGUCUGCUUGCUAAACCAAGUAAAUCACUAGGAUCAGGAUGUAUUACUAUAUGCUGUUCUGUUCAAAAUAACAGUACUUUGUUUUAAAAAUGUGGAUAAAACUCAACAUGCUUGUAAUAGCUUUAAUUUCCAUACCUGGAAAUGCAUUGUACUCUAAAGAGAACAUGAUGAAAAAUUUAUCUGAUUUGUUCUCGCUAUGCCGACAGGAAAUCUAAAUUUUUCCUCUAAAACAUUUACUGAAUAAACUGAUCAGUUCUUAAAGAUUUAACUUUUGAUUGAGUCAUUCUACUAAUAUCUAGUCUUUAAACUGCUGCAGAUUGACAUCUGUGCUGUGAUUCUUGAAUAAAUUGUUUUAUUAUUUCUUGGUUAAAAUUCAGAACCGCCAUGUUUAAUGUCCCCUCACGAGUUUCCUGGGCCGCCCACUCCAUAAAGUUCAUUUCUGGCUCAUUGAUGUAAAUACUAUCCUGACUACUCUUAAACCAUUUGUUUGGCAGCAUUUUGGGUUUCCAGCUGGAACCAUAAGUGCAACAGGGUGACAGGUAAGACACAAAAAAUGUGAGUCCGCCAAGUUGUUUAGAUGCAGGAACCAUUGCUACAGCUACCGCUGGAUGGAUGACUAAGGGUACAUUAAGCUACAUGCAUAGUCAAAAAACUGUCUGUCAUAAGGUCUGAAGAGAUUAAAUUAAAUCAGAAAAAGAAAGAUCAGUUUGUUGAAUUUGUGGCAAAAUAUGUAAAAUGCAGAAUAAAGGUCUGUUUGAAGCAUAAUUUGACCUCUUAUGUUUUCUUGAACAUAAUAUUAAAGUUUAAUAAACUGGAAACUUUUGAGAAUCUAGUUUUGGGGAUUUUUAAUUGAGGUUAUUCCAAGCUCUUAAGGAAAGUAGGGGACAUUAAAUCCAAAUAUGCCACAUUGAGGGUUCCUAUUGGGGAAUCCCAUGUGUGUCACCGCAUCAACAGAGGACCCUUUGGUGGACAGCAAUGGUGAUUGAAGUCGUCAAGCGGAAAAAGCAAAGAAGCAAACAAAGAUUUAUGCGUGACAAAAAAGCAAAACCAUAAUACAUCUGUGGGGCAGGAGGGUGGGGAAGGAUUACGUUGUUUUUUUUAAAGCAGGUAUAUGUGUGUAUGUAUGAAUAAAAAAGGCCUUGUUUGUGGAAUUGUGUGAUUUAUGCUGCCAGUCUUAUUAUGCAUUCUUCCAUGUGAUUUUUGUCUUCUCUGUAUGUGUCCAAGCUCAGAUGACUGCCCCCGCAUGCCUCAGCCCAAGUCAGCUUGCAUUAACGCAGCAGCGUCUUGAUUAAAAACAGCAAGCAGACCAAAGAUGGCUUCAGAUGGAGCCAAGUGAGCCACAUAGACUGGUUGAUCCUCUGUGCCAGAAUGAUGCAGCCGUACCUGCCUGUGGGCCUGAAUUUUCAUAUCCAGGCUCUCAAUGUGGACAACAGCAAGGACAUCAUUCACAUGUGUCCACUAAAUUCAGCUGUGUGUUUUCCUGAAGAGUCGUCACUUACACAUCCUCCUGUUGGAAACAAUUACUGAAGAAUGCCCUGUCCUUAGAAGCCAUAAAAGUUGACUGAAGGUUGAUGUGCUUUAUGUUAAGAGAGAAGAAGUAAUUUGUCAGCUGAAGUUCAUAAGCUCUGAUGAGGUUAGGAAUGUUGCAAGUAAGAAUAACAGGGAUGGAGUGCAUCACAACCAAUAUCUGAGUAGAAUUUUACAUUUAUGAAUUAUUUUGUUCACUUUUGUGACAUUAAACUCACUAGUUUGUGCUAUUUAGCAUAGGUAAACAUUUACUUUUUUGGACCAUUGGAUUUUACAUACGUUCAUUUCUAGGGUUUCAGUGUCAAAUUAAGACUUUAGGUGUAAAAUAUGAAUAUUUGAUACUCUCUGAUUUAACUUCUUGUUCUAAGAACACAACAAUGGACUGUUUUUUGUUUUUUUACAUUACAUUGAAACUUUUCCCAUCCCUAAAUGAUAGUUCAAUACCAAAGAAUAAAUACUGACACUUCAAAAUCUCUCACUCAAACGCUUUAAAAACUAGUAAAACAAUUAUCAUCCUAGCUUAACUCUUCCAAUCAAAUAUUAAAAAUAAUAAUGUGCAUGAAAUAAUAGUACUUUUUAUAUAUAUUAAAAAAAACACUGUGGAAAUAAGAUUUUAAAUAGUCAUCAUUUUGGUAAGCUUUUUUCUUGCACAUCUCAACUGCAAGAGCAAAAGUCAUUUGUGAACGUUUUAUAUUUUUGUAGGCAGAACAACACCGGCCACUAGGGGGAGCACCUCACGUUUUAGCUUCAACUUCCAAGUUCUCUUUGGGUGUCCAGCAUUAACACACAGGCUUCUGUUAAAACACAAGAACAACCAAAUGCACUGAGACAUUUUUACAGUGGUGUGGUCUGUUAUAUUUAAGUUACACAUAUGAGGUUACAAACAUUUUAGUUACAAGUGUGCAAAAACAAAAUAAGAUUACAGAUUUUUACUUCAGCAGAGAACAUAUGAAGUGUAAGAAAAUACAGUGAUAAAUGUGAAAUCUGUUCAUUCCUACUGUUCCCAGUGAAGAAAAAAACGGAUUGUCAAUUACAUUCUGUCAAAUAUACCAUCAUUAUACAAUCACUACAUGUUCUCAUUUAAUCUGAACAAUUU